rnacentral:rRNA from 1 species
AAUGGGCGCAAGCCUGAUCCAGCAAUACCGCGUGUGUGAAGAAGGCUCUAGGGUCGUAAAGCACUUUCAGUAGGGAGGAAAGGGAUGUAGUUAAUACCUGCAUUCUGUGACGUUACCUACAGAAGAAGCACCGGCUAACUCCGUGCCAGCAGCCGCGGUAAUACGGAGGGUGCAAAGCGUUAAUCGGAAUUACUGGGCGUAAAGCGCGCGUAGGCGGAUUGUUAAGUCUCAUGUGAAAGCCCUGGGCUCAACCUGGGAACUGCAUGGGAUACUGGCAAUCUAGAAUACAGUAGAGGGUAGUGGAAUUUCAGGUGUAGCGGUGAAAUGCGUAGAGAUCUGAAGGAACUAUCAGUGGCGAAGGCGACUACCUGGACUGAUAUUGACGCUGAGGUGCGAAAGCGUGGGGAGCAAACGGGAUU